AAAAAAGUUAAUGGAAAUAGAUAGUUAUUAUAUAUUUUAAUAAUCAUCAAACAAAAAACGAUAUUAUAUAUUUUAAUAAUCAUUAAACAAAAAAGUGACAAAAAUAUAAAGGAGGUUAAAAACCCCCUCAAAAUAAUAGUCAGUAAUAGAGGAGGUUUUUACCUUCUGCCGAAAAACCCUCGCAAAUUGAAUAUAUAGAGGAGGUUUUUACCCUCCGCAGAAAAACCCCCAAAUUGAAUAUGAUACCAGGGGACGAAAAAAACCCCCGCAGAUAGUUUGUGGCGACUCAAACUGCGGGAGUUUGAAAAACCCCCGGAAUUUAUUUAGCGGAGGGUAAAAACCCUCGCUAAUUGAAAAAACAAACCCCUUUAAAUAGGUUUUUUUUUGUAGUGUGUCAAGAAUGGGAUGCCGGCCAUCCCCAACGUGAAGACGCGCAAUCGCAGCAAGAUGAAGGCCAACGUUUUCCUGAUGAAGUUAUAUUAAAUAUUCUAUCGCACCUUUCUUUCAAAGAAGUGACGAGAGAUUUUGGAAUUCAAUAAUAGUUUCACGAUAUUUUUUAGGAUUGAAUCUGAAUUCUAUGUUCGUAAGCGGAGAUUAUCUUUCAAGAUCAAUAGAGAAUUCGUACUCUAUUAAUUACACUUCCACGUUUGAGUGUGUAGAAAGAAUUGGGAAAGUAAAAUUCAUUUCUUUGUCGAGGUAUUCUUUAGGUCAUAACCAUUCCUUUGUUAAAUAAACUUAAAUUUAAAAAAGGUUAAAAGUAUAAUUUUGGUUUAUUGAUUUUGUUAGUUUUCAGAUAUUUUUGUUGGGAGUUGAUAGAUUCAAAAUGCACGUUGUUUUGUUUUUAAAUUUUGUAAGUAAUAAUAUAGCCACAAUAUUGGCAAUUUUUAUUAUGUUUUUGUACAACUAUUUUAAUAACCUUAUUCAAUUAAUGAAGUGUAGCACACAUUUUACAAAGAGAAAUAUACUUUGAAAGGCAAUCAGAACGAAGGCCGAGAUUCUAGUGAACGUCAAGAACACGAAGGUAAAGAAGAAACGUCGUUCUUGAAAGACACUCAUGGCGAAGGUCGAGAUUCUAGUGAAAACACGAAGGUAAAGAAGACGCGUCACUUUUGAAAGACACUCAUGGCGAAGGCCGAGAUUCUAGUGAACAUCAAGAACGAGAAGAUAAAAAAGACACGUCACAACACGAUGACGACAAUAGUGACAACCAGCAACACGUCGGCCAACAUCAAGAACAAUACGAUGAGAAAUAAAACGUGGAGCAACAGUUACAUGAUGACAAUGAUUAUAAAGACACCAACCUCAACCAAUGUCAAGAACAGGAUGACAGUCACUGCCAACAUGAAGAUGCACAGUCGCAACAGGAUGAAGGCCAAUUACCUAACGAAGUUAUAUUAUAUAUUCUAUCGCGCCUUUCUUUCAAAGAAGUGACGUGAUUUAGAAUUGUUUCUAGAUUUUGGAAUUCAAUUAUAGUUUCACUAUAUUUUGUAGGAUUGAAUCUGAAUUAUAGGUUCGUAAGCGAAGGUUAUCUUUCAAGAUCCGUAGAGAAUAUGUACUCUAUUAAUUACACUUCCACGUUGAGUGUGUAGAAAGAGUUGUGAAAGUAAAAUUCAUUUUUUUGUCAAGAUAUUCU
rnacentral:lncRNA from 1 species